AGGUGCGAUCAUACCAGCACUAAUGCAUCGAAUCUCAUCAAAACUUCGUAGUUAAGCGUGCUUGGACGAAAGUAGUACUAUGAUGGGUGACCUUCUGGAACGUGCUUGUGUUGCACGUC
rnacentral:rRNA from 1 species